AUUGAACGCUGGCGGCAGGCCUAACACAUGCAAGUCGAGCGGAGCGGCGGAGGGGUGAGUAAUGCCUAGGAAUCUGCCUGGUAGUGCGGGAUAACGCCCGGUAACGGGCGCUGAUACCGCUUACUAUCAGAUGAGCCUAGGUCGGAAAAGCUAGGUGGUGGGGGACAGGCCAACCAAGGCGACGAUCCGUAACUGGGCUGAGAGGAUGAUCAGUCACACUGGAACUGAGACACGGUCCAGACUCCGACGGGAGGCAGCAGUGGGGAAUAUUGCACAAUGGGCGAAAGCCUGAUCCAGCCAUGCCGCGGGUAUGAAGAAGGUCUUCGGAUUGUAAAGCACUUUAAGGUGGGAGGCGUUACCAGCAGAAGAAGCACCGGCUAACUUCGUGCCAGCAGCCGCGGUAAUUC
rnacentral:rRNA from 1 species